UCAAGAUUUUCUACCAGAAGAAGUUGUCCAUCAAAAGCUUCCCAGCUCACUCCUACCCUGAGUUCCAGGAAUCUUUAAUCUGCCAUAGGGGGAAAAAACCACGUGGUGACAUGAAUCAUACCUAAGUAACUCAGGGCACUGAGAAAAGAGCUUCCAGACAAGAAUUCUACCACUCUGAGUGUGGAAAAUAUUCAUCAGUGCACCUGAUGCUGAAGCUAUGCCUCAGGCCAUUACAUGUAGCUAUGAGCAGCUACAAUUCAGAAGCUGGAGAGGUGACCUGCAGUGGGAGAGGAACAGAGCCUGGAAAUGUGCAGGAAACCACAAUCUGGGAUGCGGGAAAGGAGAUGAAAUAUUACAGGGAAAAAAAAAGUGGCCUUCCGCUAAUUGAGAAAGUUGAUUGGAUUCAACUUUAUUGGUACUUUUCAAACUACUGAUUAUGUCUGUAUUCUGUUUUUCUUUCUCCUUCAUUUUUACUGUUUUCAAAAUAGCUGGUGCUUUGGAGUCAUUAAUUGGUAGGUUUUAGCUCCAGACUAGGCUGAAGGUUGUAUUGUGCUGAAACCACGUUUGUGCUUUCUGUGACAUGUAGUCCAGUACGAAUGGGUGUGCAUUUCAAAAUGGAGUGCCUUCACUGAUAUUAGCUCAGUUCCAAAGGGUUUACCACCUAAUGCCCUGAUCAGUGGUGUCUUCUGAGGGUCAGCAACUGAGAAUCGAAUUGAGGGAUUUGACUGGAUUUGAUUGGAUUUGAUGGAUUCAGGGAUUGAGAAUGGAACUAAGAUAAGGACUCAGUGAAGAUGUUUAAUAAAAAGUAGGAUGAAGAGAAAAGGGUGACUGAUAGGGCUGCUAUCUUGACAGAAGGGUGUUUUUGGAUGCUACUUUCUGUUAUGUUCGCACUUAGUACAUUGAAAGCAAUAAAUCUUGAUGUAGGCCAGUGUUUGUGUGCCUAUGCAGAAAGAGUCUUCAGAAAGUAAUUGAAUAAAUUGUGUACUACGCAAAGGCUGUAUACAGGGCAGCAUAGAAGAUGCAUAGGCAUGAGUCUGAGAAGGACAUGAAAGGAUGGUUGUAUGUCGUGCUUAUCUUUGAUAUCUUUGAUCGUGUCUGUAUCAGGACUGCAUUAGCACAUUUACAUUGACAAUUUUUAUGAUUUCUCCUGAACAGCUAAGUAUAAUGUCUGUUUUUAUUGUUCAUACUCUGUUGUAUAUGUAUUGUUUGCAACACAGUUGUUCAAACCCCUCACCCUUCUUCCCUUGAAAUACAUGGUACCAAAAAAAUAUUAUACCUCUAAAAGUCUAGAUUUAUUGUAUCUGUUUGAAGCUCCCACCUGGGGGAAUUUUCUAUCAGACAUCUCAGAGAAGUUCUAUUUGUUCUGCCUAGUUUAGCUUUUUUCUACUUUAUGGGUAAAAUGAAAGGACUUUUCUUUUAAAAGCAAUU